rnacentral:rRNA from 1 species
GACGAACGCUGGCGGCGUGCUUAACACAUGCAAGUCGAACGGAAUGGCCCUGCUUUUGUGGGGUGCUCGAGUGGCGAACGAGUGAGUAACACGUGAGUAGCCUGCCCUUGACUUUGGGAUAACUUCAGGAAACUGGGGCUAAUACCGGAUAGGAGCUCCUGCUGCACGGUGGGGGUUGGAAAGUUUCGGCGGUUGGGGAUGGACUCGCGGCUUAUCAGCUUGUUGGUGGGGUAGUGGCUUACCAAGGCUUUGACGGGUAGCCGGCCUGAGAGGGUGACCGGCCACAUUGGGACUGAGAUACGGCCCAGACUCCUACGGGAGGCAGCAGCGGGGAAUAUUGCACAAUGGGCGGAAGCCUGAUGCAGCAACGCCGCGUGCGGGAUGACGGCCUUCGGGUUGUAAACCGCUUUCGCCUGUGACGAAGCGUGAGUGACGGUAAUGGGUAAAGAAGCACCGGCUAACUACGUGCCAGCAGCCGCGGUGAUACGUAGGGUGCGAGCGUUGUCCGGAUUUAUUGGGCGUAAAGGGCUCGUAGGUGGUUGAUCGCGUCGGAAGUGUAAUCUUGGGGCUUAACCCUGAGCGUGCUUUCGAUACGGGUUGACUUGAGGAAGGUAGGGGAGAAUGGAAUUCCUGGUGGAGCGGUGGAAUGCGCAGAUAUCAGGAGGAACACCAGUGGCGAAGGCGGUUCUCUGGGCCUUUCCUGACGCUGAGGAGCGAAAGCGUGGGGAGCGAACAGGCUUAGAUACCCUGGUAGUCCACGCUGUAAACGGUGGGUACUAGGUGUGGGGUCCAUUCCACGGGUUCCGUGCCGUAGCUAACGCUUUAAGUACCCCGCCUGGGGAGUACGGCCGCAAGGCUAAAACUCAAAGGAAUUGACGGGGCCCCGCACAAGCGGCGGAGCAUGCGGAUUAAUUCGAUGCAACGCGUAGAACCUUACCUGGGUUUGACAUGGAUCGGGAGUGCUCAGAGAUGGGUGUGCCUCUUUUGGGGUCGGUUCACAGGUGGUGCAUGGCUGUCGUCAGCUCGUGUCGUGAGAUGUUGGGUUAAGUCCCGCAACGAGCGCAACCCUUGUUCACUGUUGCCAGCACGUUAUGGUGGGGACUCAGUGGAGACCGCCGGGGUCAACUCGGAGGAAGAUGGGGAUGACGUCAAGUCAUCAUGCCCCUUAUGUCCAGGGCUUCACGCAUGCUACAAUGGCUGGUACAGAGAGUGGCGAGCCUGUGAGGGUGAGCGAAUCUCGGAAAGCCGGUCUCAGUUCGGAUUGGGGUCUGCAACUCGACCUCAUGAAGUCGGAGUCGCUAGUAAUCGCAGAUCAGCAACGCUGCGGUGAAUACGUUCCCGGG